UACGGGGGGGGCAAGCGUUGUUCGGAAUUACUGGGCGUAAAGGGUUCGUAGGUGGCCUGCUAAGUCACACGUGAAAUCCCUCAGCUUAACUGGGGAACUGCGUGUGAGACUGGCGGGCUUGAGUGCAGGAGAGGAACGCGGAAUUCCAGGUGUAGCGGUGGAAAUGCGUAGAUAUCUGGAGGAACACCGGUGGCGAAGGCGGCGUCUGGACUGCAACUGACACUGAGGAACGAAAGCCAGGGGAGCAAACGGG
rnacentral:rRNA from 1 species